rnacentral:miRNA from 1 species
AAACUUUGUUAGUAUCUUUUAGACUGUUGCGUGAUUACCGUCAAGUUUACUUGACGGUAAUUACGUCAAGUUUACUUGACGGUAAUCACGCAACAGUCUAAAAGAUACUAACAAAGUUU